CGGCUCCUAAACAGACUGAGAUCACAACUGCGACAGCUUAAAGUUUGAUUUUUGGAAGGCUUUGAAAGGUAAUCACAUGUGCUUCAGUUUUCACUCCUGUAAAGUCAUUGGUUCCUUCCUGAUGUCAGAAGGAGGGGGCAGGGCAAAAAGU